GCGGCCGUUGGAGCUCCACCGUCCUUCACAUCUUUGAUGCGUUGAAGCCGGCCAGCAGACUAGCAGUCUGCCCUCCUCUGCCUUUUCUUCAAAGAGAUGAGCAGGUUCUCUCUCCAUCUCUUUCUCAAAGGAACAGUGAAUCACAUCUGUGGUUGUGCAGACCGUUUCUAUCUAUGGCUUACAAAGUGCUUGAUGAAAUCCUAGCUAAUGAAAGUUGCAGCCAGUGGUGGUGUUCCUUGGCAGUGAGGCAAUGACGAGAGGAACAUACGAUGGAUUCUUCAAGAUUCAAUGCAGUUAUGGUGGAUGCUUUGAUCAAAUAAAGUUAUUCGCCUCCUCCACCUCUUCCACCCUCGCGGCCGGAGGAUGCCACACAACAUCGCAAAGCAUAUUGGCACAAACCACGCACCUUCUCGUUUUUGUUAUCUGUGUUAGACUCCGGCUGUUUCUGCUGCAUCUGAUUGGAUAGCUCAUACUUCCUUCCUUUCUACUGCCUACAGUUUAUGGACAGAUGCAGGUCUGACCUAUUCCUCCUCCGUCAUGCAUGGUGGUCAGCGUAUGAAUACCUGUGCCUAAGGUUUCGUUUAUUGACAGCCAUGUCAAGCUUGGUCCAUGAGUAAACAGGGUAUGGUGGAUAUCAGUUAAAUGAGUUCUUCUCAUUGGUGGUAUACGAAGACAUAUACAGAUGGUCAGCUACCAAUACUGGAAAGGUAGGAUGAUACAUGCAGGGCAGGGAUUUGGGACAGCCAAAUGCUGUACCAUAAGAUCAGGAGCUGCCUCACGGUAUAAGCAGGCGGCCGUGUUGCCCUUCUACAUGAGACAUCUACUCUGCUGAAGGAUGAAGAGCAUGGAGGCGGCUUGCCGCAUAAGAGGCUGGAGCGGCAAGUUUGGUGUGGCUGCUCCUUCAUGCAAAGGUCUUCAGUUCAUAAUUUAUUUUCCUUACUUUUGUCCCUUAAGGAGCAGCCACAUGCUUUGUUUCGUUUCUCCUAUAGUGUGUAAUUUAGGCUUUCUUCACACCACCUAUUCUUGAUUUUUCUAUCUUCCACCUUUUAGCAAAAGAAAGUUGAGAAUAAAUCAAUGAUUGUUUGCCUUUAAGAAUUAUUAUACCAUUUCAUCGGAUGUAAUAAACUUAAAAUAGUUAUUUGUGGAUUUAGUUUGCUGCUUA